rnacentral:rRNA from 1 species
ACGCGUGAGGAACCUGCCUUCCAGAGGGGGACAACAGUUGGAAACGACUGCUAAUACCGCAUGACGCAUGACCGGGGCAUCCCGGGCAUGUCAAAGAUUUUAUCGCUGGAAGAUGGCCUCGCGUCUGAUUCGCUAGAUGGUGGGGUAACGGCCCACCAUGGCGACGAUCAGUAGCCGGACUGAGAGGUUGACCGGCCACAUUGGGACUGAGAUACGGCCCAGACUCCUACGGGAGGCAGCAUG